AUUGAACGCUGGCGGCAUGCUUUACACAUGCAAGUCGAACGGCAGCGCGGGCUUCGGCCUGGCGGCGAGUGGCGAACGGGUGAGUAAUGCAUCGGAACGUGCCCAGUAGUGGGGGAUAGCCCGGCGAAAGCCGGAUUAAUACCGCAUACGACCUGCGGGUGAAAGCGGGGGACCGAAAGGCCUCGCGCUAUUGGAGCGGCCGAGGUCGGAUUAGCUAGUUGGUGGGGUAAAGGCUUACCAAGGCGACGAUCCGUAGCUGGUCUGAGAGGACGACCAGCCACACUGGGACUGAGACACGGCCCAGACUCCUACGGGAGGCAGCAGUGGGGAAUUUUGGACAAUGGGGGCAACCCUGAUCCAGCCAUGCCGCGUGCGGGAAGAAGGCCUUCGGGUUGUAAACCGCUUUUGUUCGGGAAGAAAUCCUCUGGGCUAAUACCCCGGGGGGAUGACGGUACCGGAAGAAUAAGCACCGGCUAACUACGUG
rnacentral:rRNA from 1 species